UACGAAGGGGGCUAGCGUUGCUCGGAAUCACUGGGCGUAAAGGGCGCGUAGGCGGAUCUUUAAGUCGGGGGUGAAAGCCUGAGGCUCAACCUCAGAAUUGCCUUCGAUACUGAAGAUCUCGAGACCGGAAGAGGUAAGUGGAACUGCGAGUGUAGAGGUGAAAUUCGUAGAUAUUCGCAAGAACACCAGUGGCGAAGGCGGCUUACUGGUCCGGUUCUGACGCUGAGGCGCGAAAGCGUGGGGAGCAAACAGG
rnacentral:rRNA from 1 species